CGCAGCCCCAGUUCCCGCCCACGCCUCUCCCUCCACACCUCCCCGCAAGCUGAGGGAGCCGUCUCCGGCCUUGGCCAGCCCAGAAAGGGGCUCCCACAGUGCAGCGGUGGGCUGAAGGGCUCCUCAAGCACGGCCACAGUGGGCUCCAAGGCCGAGGAGGCGCCCAGAGUGAGCCAGGGCUGCGAGGGCUGCCAGCAUGCUGUCACCUCUCAGCUGCAUCUCUUGAAGAGCAAAAAAACUCUUGGGGCCUGAGCAAAGCCUGAGAAGGGACGCGCAGGACAAAUUUGCGGGGAAAGAGAGAAGAUUGGGCAAAAAUUUGGCAUGAGAACAGCCUUUAACCUGUCCCUUCAAUACAUUUGCUGCCUCAGAAAGGAAGAGGCCACAAGGAGCUCCUGGUUUCUACUACAGCCUCCAGAGUCUCUAAUUCCGUCCCCAAGGAUGGUGUGGGCAGCAUGGUUGGGGGGCAUCCACGGUCUUCAGCGGUCCCACUCUGGAGCCUCCCACACCACACUGUGGGCACUGUGGACAUUCAGUAAGUAUGUGAUGCUGAUGAUCUUGAAGGUUCUCAGAGGCUGGCUGAUUCUUCCUGUCUGUGUAUUCACACUUGGUACUUGUUGAUUAGUUAAGGAUCAAGGAUCCCAAUUUUUUUUUUUUUUUUUUGGAGAUAGGGUCUCACUCUGUUGCCCAGGCUGGAGUGCAGUGACGUGAUCUUGGCUCACUGUAACCUCCGCUUCCUGGGUUCCAGUGAUUCUCCUGCCUCAGCCUCCCUAAUAGCUGAGAUUACAGGCGUGAGGCACCACAUCUGGCU
rnacentral:lncRNA from 10 species